rfam:Clostridiales bacterium CHKCI006 isolate CHKC6 genome assembly, contig: {contig12}
GGUCCGGUAGUGUAGCGGUUAACAUGUCGCACUGUCACUGCGAAGAUCGCGGGUUCAAGUCCCGUCCGGACCG